AUUGAACGCUGGCGGCAGGCUUAACACAUGCAAGUCGAGCGGAGCGAGGGUGCUUGCACCUUAGCUUAGCGGCGGACGGGUGAGUAAUGCUUAGGAAUCUGCCUAUUAGUGGGGGACAACAUUCCGAAAGGAAUGCUAAUGCCGCAUACGCCCUACGGGGGAAAGCAGGGGAUCGUCGGACCUUGCGCUAAUCGAUGAGCCUAAGUCGGAUUAGCUAGUUGGUGGGGUAAAGGCCUACCAAGGCGACGAUCUGUAGCGGGUCUGAGAGGAUGAUCCGCCACACUGGGACUGAGACACGGCCCAGACUCCUACGGGAGGCAGCAAUGGGGAAUAUUGGACAAUGGGCGGAAGCCUGAUCCAGCCAUGCCGCGUGUGUGAAGAAGGCCUUUUGGUUGUAAAGCACUUUAAGCGAGGAGGAGGCUACUUAGAUUAAUACUCUGGGAUAGUGGACGUUACUCGCAGAAUAAGCACCGGCUAACUCUGUGCCAGCCGCCGCAGUAACAC
rnacentral:rRNA from 1 species